UGAGCUUGAUCCUGGCUCAGGAUGAACGCUAGCGGCAGGCUUAACACAUGCAAGUCGAGGGGUAGAAGUCUUCGGACUUUGAGACCGGCGCACGGGUGCGUAACGCGUAUGCAAUCUACCUUUUACAGAGGGAUAGCCCAGAGAAAUUUGGAUUAAUACCUCAUAGUAUAAUGACUCGGCAUCGAGAUAUUAUUAAAGUCACAACGGUAAAAGAUGAGCAUGCGUCCCAUUAGCUAGUUGGUAAGGUAACGGCUUACCAAGGCUACGAUGGGUAGGGGUCCUGAGAGGGAGAUCCCCCACACUGGUACUGAGACACGGACCAGACUCCUACGGGAGGCAGCAGUGAGGAAUAUUGGACAAUGGGCGCAAGCCUGAUCCAGCCAUGCCGCGUGCAGGAUGACGGUCCUAUGGAUUGUAAACUGCUUUUAUACGAGAAGAAACACU
rnacentral:rRNA from 10 species